rnacentral:tRNA from 1 species
CCUUAAGUGGCUGAGAAAAUAAAGCUAUAGACUUUUAAUCUAUACACAGUAGUACGCCUACUCUAAAGG